CCUGAGACUGGGGACAAGUGAAUGACCCAUAUUUUUAGAAGAAGUAAAUUUUCCAGCCUGAUGUUUUAGUAGUGGCAAAGCCACUCAGAAUACCCACUCAGACAACCUUUCACACUAUGAGACUGUUCAUCCUCUACUCUGCCCUUGAUGUUUCCAAAAUUUAUGAAAGGAAACAUGUUCGCUGAAUGUUGUCAGAGGACCAGGUGUGGGUACCAGUGAUUCAGAAGUGAACUCAGCCCAGUGCCUGCCCUUAAGAUGCUUGCAGUCCUCUGAGGAGAGACAAGCAGAUCAACUAUUAUCACAUUGUUGAGCAGGGAGAAAAAACCUCUAGGAUAAUAUUAUGGAGAAUUUCACACAAUGGCAAUCUGUUAGGAAAG
rnacentral:lncRNA from 1 species